GUCCCGAUGGGGUAGUGGAUAUCCCGGAGGCCUGCGGAGCAUUUUUCGCGCAGAGAGCCUUCAACCCGGGUUCGAAUCCCGGUCGGGACG
rnacentral:tRNA from 1 species